rnacentral:rRNA from 1 species
GGCAGCAGUAAGGAAUAUUGCGCAAUGGAGGAAACUCUGACGCAGCAACGCCGCGUGGGGGAUGAAGCACUAUGGUGUGUAAACCCCUGUAGACAGGGACGAACGAUAUAUAUUCGUAAGGGUAUGUACGUGACGGUACCUGUAAAGUAAGCACCGGCUAACUCCGUGCCAGCAGCCGCGGUAAUACGGGGGGUGCAAGCGUUGUCCGGAAUUACUGGGCGUAAAGGGCGAGUAGGCGGCUUCAUAAGUCAGAUCUGAAAGCCCUCGGAUUAACCGUGGAACCGCAUUCGAAAGCAGUUGCCCUGAGUAUCCGAAGGGGUACACGUAUUCCCAAAGUAGCGGCGAGAAGGGCAGAUAUUGGCAAGAACUCCAGUAGAGAAGGGCACCCCCUGGAUCAUUACGGACGCUAACGCGGGAAAGCGCGGGGAGCAAACAGCAUGAGAUACCACGUUAGUACCCUCCGUAAUAUAUGGAUAUUAGAUGUGGGUUCAUUGGUAAACAAUCCGUAGUGCAUCAAACGCCUUAAGUAUCCGGUGCGGGGGGUUUUAUUGCGAGGUUCAAUAUUAAAUGAAUGGCGG